rnacentral:rRNA from 1 species
GGCCCCAACUCUUCCAAAACUACCCCCGAUUUUUGGCCCGUUAAUAACCGGAGGAAAAAAAAUUCACCAGG